rnacentral:rRNA from 1 species
AGAUUGAACGCUGGCGGCAGGCCUAACACAUGCAAGUCGAGCGGCAGCGGGAAGAUAGCUUGCUAUCUUUGCCGGCGAGCGGCGGACGGGUGAGUAAUGCCUAGGGAUCUGCCCAGUCGAGGGGGAUAACAGUUGGAAACGACUGCUAAUACCGCAUACGCCCUACGGGGGAAAGGAGGGGACCUUCGGGCCUUCCGCGAUUGGAUGAACCUAGGUGGGAUUAGCUAGUUGGUGAGGUAAUGGCUCACCAAGGCGACGAUCCCUAGCUGUUCUGAGAGGAUGAUCAGCCACACUGGGACUGAGACACGGCCCAGACUCCUACGGGAGGCAGCAGUGGGGAAUAUUGCACAAUGGGGGAAACCCUGAUGCAGCCAUGCCGCGUGUGUGAAGAAGGCCUUCGGGUUGUAAAGCACUUUCAGUAGGGAGGAAAGGUARUAGUUUAAUACGCUAUUACUGUGACGUUACCUACAGAAGAAGGACCGG